GCAGAGUAGGGAAACAUGCGCAAAGUGCCUGCGGGACGGGGAGUUGCCGGCGGGACGAAAAGCGAAAGCUUGUGGUUUGUUUUCCGCAUCCCGCUGC
rnacentral:ncRNA from 1 species